rnacentral:rRNA from 1 species
CUACGGGGCGCUGCAGUGGGGAAUAUUGGACAAUGGGGGGAACCCUGAUGCAGCAACGCCGCGUGGAGGAUGACGCAUUUCGGUGUGUAAACUCCUUUUAUAUGUCAAGAAAAUGACGGUAGCAUAUGAAUAAGCACCGGCUAACUCCGUGCCAGCAGCCGCGGUAAUACGGAGGGUGCAAGCGUUACUCGGAAUCACUGGGCGUAAAGGACGCGUAGGCGGGUUGGAAAGUCAGGUGUGAAAUCCUACAGCUUAACUGUAGAACUGCACUUGAAACUUCUAAUCUAGAGUAUGGGAGGGGGAGAUGGAAUUAGUGGUGUAGGGGUAAAAUCCGUAGAUAUCACUAGGAAUACCUAAAGCGAAGGCGAUCUCCUGGAACAUUACUGACGCUAAGGCGUGAAAGCGUGGGGAGCAAACAGGAUUAGAUACCCGUGUAGUC